GUCCCACGCCCAGAGAAUCCAACAGUGGAUUCAGUGUCCACAACAUCAGCUAUGAUUAAAUGGCUUCCACCACAUGAACUGGGUGGUACAAACCCUUCUUACAAAGUCCAAGUAGAAGGUGUUCAAGCCAUGACUGCAAUUGCAUGCAACAUAGACAUACUAAACUUGAAGCCAAACACAACAUAUACUGUUUAUGUCUGCACUGUCCUGAAUGAUCAACUGAGUGAAGCUGUGCCUGUGAAAGUGAAAACUGGAUCCCUUACUGCAAAAGCCACGUCAUGGUUUGGACUAUGAGUUGUACACCAAGAGCUGACAAGAAAUCCAAAUGAGUCCCACCCUGACAAGAAAUCCAUGACAAGAACUCUGAAUCCAAACACACAGUUUGUUUCCAUGUUUUUUGUAGUCUGUGUUAAAGAGU